rnacentral:rRNA from 1 species
CCUACGGGAGGCAGCAGUGGGGAAUAUUGCACAAUGGGGGAAACCCUGAUGCAGCGACGCCGCGUGAGUGAAGAAGUAUUUCGGUAUGUAAAGCUCUAUCAGCAGGGAAGAAACCCACCCUCCGGGGUGGCUGACGGUACCUGACUAAGAAGCCACGGCUAACUACGUGCCAGCAGCCGCGGUAAUACGUAGGGGGCAAGCGUUCUCCGGAUUUACUGGGUGGAAAGGGAGGGUAGGUGGCCUGGCAAGUCAGUUGUGAAAGCCCGGUGCCCAACCCUGGGAGUGCAGUUGAAUCUGGCUGGCUAGAGUACAGGAGAGGUGAGUGGAAUUCCUGGUGUAGCGGUGAAAUGCAUAGAUAUUAGGAGGAACACCAGUGGCGAAGGCAGUUUACUGGACUGUAACUGACACUGAGGCUCGAAAGCGUGGGUAGCAAACAGGAUUAGAUACCCGAGUAGUC